GCGGGGGGGGGGUGCUAUACAUGCAGUCGAGCGGACAGAAGGGAGCUUGCUCCCGGAUGUUAGCGGCGGACGGGUGAGUAACACGUGGGUAACCUGCCUGUAAGACUGGGAUAACUCCGGGAAACCGGAGCUAAUACCGGAUAGUUCCUUGAACCGCAUGGUUCAAGGAUGAAAGACGGUUUCGGCUGUCACUUACAGAUGGACCCGCGGCGCAUUAGCUAGUUGGUGAGGUAACGGCUCACCAAGGCGACGAUGCGUAGCCGACCUGAGAGGGUGAUCGGCCACACUGGGACUGAGACACGGCCCAGACUCCUACGGGAGGCAGCAGUAGGGAAUCUUCCGCAAUGGACGAAAGUCUGACGGAGCAACGCCGCGUGAGUGAUGAAGGUUUUCGGAUCGUAAAGCUCUGUUGUUAGGGAAGAACAAGUGCAAGAGUAACUGCUUGCACCUUGACGGUACCUAACCAGAAAGCCACGGCUAACUACGUGCCAGCAGCCGCGGUAAUACGUAGGUGGCAAGCGUUGUCCGGAAUUAUUGGGCGUAAAGGGCUCGCAGGCGGUUUCUUAAGUCUGAUGUGAAAGCCCCCGGCUCAACCGGGGAGGGUCAUUGGAAACUGGGAAACUUGAGUGCAGAAGAGGAGAGUGGAAUUCCACGUGUAGCGGUGAAAUGCGUAGAGAUGUGGAGGAACACCAGUGGCGAAGGCGACUCUCUGGUCUGUAACUGACGCUGAGGAGCGAAAGCGUGGGGAGCGAACAGGAUUAGAUACCCUGGUAGUCCCACGCCGUAAACGAUGAGUGCUAAGUGUUAGGGGGUUUCCGCCCCUUAGUGCUGCAGCUAACGCAUAAUGCACUCCGGCCUGGGGAGUACUGGUCGCAAUGACUGAAACUCAAAUGAAAUCGACGGGGGCCCGCACAAGCGGUGGUGCAUGUUGGUUUUAAUUCGAAGCAACCGCGAAGAACCUUACCUGGUCCUUGACAUCCUCUGGACAACCCUAAGAGAUAGGGCUUUCCCUUCAGGGACUGAUUGACGAGUGGUGUAUUGCUUUGUCGUUCAGCUUCGUGUCUUGAAGAUGGUGGGUUAGUUCCCGCCAACCUAGCGUCACCCUUUGAU
rnacentral:rRNA from 1 species